rnacentral:tRNA from 1 species
GCAUCGGUCGUCCAGUGGUAGGACACCGCAUUCGUAAUGCGGAGACGAGGUUUCGAUUCCCUCUCGGUGCU